AGCAGUCGCCGCGGGAAUACGUAGGGGGCGAGCGUUAUUCGGAAUUAUUGGGCGUAAAGCGCUCGUAGGCGGGAUCGAUAGUCCGUGAAGAAAGACCUGGGCUCAACUCAGGGAACGGCACGGAUACUUCGAUUCUUGAAGCAAUCAGAGGGUGAUGGAAUUCCCGGUGGAGCGGUGAAAUGCGUUGAGAUCGGAAAGAACACCAAUGGCGAAAGCACUCUGCUGGGCCGACACUAACACUGAGAGACGAAAGCUAGGGGAGCAAAUGGGAUUAGAUACCCCGGUAGUCCCUGUCUCUUAUAC
rnacentral:rRNA from 1 species